GGGGGAUAACACUUAGAAAUAGGUGCUAAUACCGCAUAAGCGCACAGCUUCGCAUGAAGCAGUGUGAAAAACUCCGGUGGUAUACGAUGGUUCCGCGUCUGAUUAGCUAGUUGGCGGGGUAACGGCCCACCAAGGCAGCGAUCAGUAGCCGGCCUGAGAGGGUGAACGGCCACAUUGGGACUGAGACACGGCCCAAACUCCUACGGGAGGCAGCAGUGGGGAAUAUUGCACAAUGGGGGAAACCCUGAUGCAGCGACGCCGCGUGAGUGGAGAAGUAUUUCGGUACGUAAAGCUCUAUCAGCAGGGAAGAAAAUGACGGUACCUGACUAAGAAGCCCCGGCUAACUACGUGCCAGCAGCCGCGGUAAUACGUAGGGGGCAAGCGUUAUCCGGAUUUACUGGGUGUAAAGGGAGCGUAGACGGCAGCGCAAGUCUGGAGUGAAAUGCCGGGGCCCAACCCCGGAACUGCUUUGGAAACUGUGCAGCUUGAGUGCGGGAGAGGUAAGUGGAAUUCCUAGUGUAGCGGUGAAAUGCGUAGAUAUUAGGAGGAACACCAGUGGCGAAGGCGGCUUACUGGACCGUAACUGACGUUGAGGCUCGAAAGCGUGGGGAGCAAACAGGAUUAGAUACCCUGGUAGUCCACGCCGUAAACGAUGAUUACUAGGUGUCGGGGGACCAAGGUCCUCCGGUGCCGGCGCAAACGCAUUAAGUAAUCCACCUGGGGAGUACGUUCGCAAGAAUGAAACUCAAAGGAAUUGACGG
rnacentral:rRNA from 1 species